CAACCAUCAAGCCCCAGGCUUGUGUUGGGGACCUGCGGCUGCCGCAGGCCCUGAAAACCAGUGGCGGGCUCGCUGUCACACCGGGCGUAGUAGAUUUUAUCUCGCUCUGGGCGUGCUGCGGGUUCCGGCCGUUAAAAAACCCUUUUUACCCAA
rnacentral:misc_RNA from 1 species